UACGUAGGGGCCUAGCGUUGUCCGGAUUUAUUGGGCGUAAAGAGCGUGUAGGCGGCCAAACAGGUCAGCUGUGAAAACUCGAGGCUCAACCUCGAGACGUCGGUUGAAACCGUUUGGCUAGAGUCCGGAAGAGGAGAGUGGAAUUCCCGGUGUAGCGGUGAAAUGCGCAGAUAUCGGGAAGAACACCCGUGGCGAAGGCGGCUCUCUGGGACGGUACUGACGCUGAGACGCGAAAGCGUGGGGAGCAAACAGG
rnacentral:rRNA from 1 species